AGUGAACGCUGGCGGCAGGCCUAACACAUGCAAGUCGAACGGCAGCACAGCAGUAGCAAUACUGUGGGUGGCGAGUGGCGGACGGGUGAGGAAUACAUCGGAAUCUGCCUUAUCGUGGGGGAUAACGUAGGGAAACUUACGCUAAUACCGCAUACGACCUACGGGUGAAAGCGGAGGACCUUCGGGCUUCGCGCGAUAAGAUGAGCCGAUGUCGGAUUAGCUAGUUGGCGGGGUAAAGGCCCACCAAGGCGACGAUCCGUAGCUGGUCUGAGAGGAUGAUCAGCCACACUGGAACUGAGACACGGUCCAGACUCCUACGGGAGGCAGCAGUGGGGAAUAUUGGACAAUGGGCGCAAGUCUGAUCCAGCCAUGCCGCGUGGGUGAAGAAGGCCUUCGGGUUGUAAAGCCCUUUUGUCCGGAAAGAAAAGCAUCGGGUUAAUACCUCGGUGUUCUGACGGUACCGGAAGAAUAAGCACCGGCUAACUUCGUGCCAGCCGCCGCCGUAACAC
rnacentral:rRNA from 1 species